rnacentral:rRNA from 1 species
UACGAAGGGGGCUAGCGUUGCUCGGAAUCACUGGGCGUAAAGGGUGCGUAGGCGGGUCUUUAAGUCAGGGGUGAAAUCCUGGAGCUCAACUCCAGAACUGCCUUUGAUACUGAAAGUCUUGAGUAUGGGAGAGGUGAGUGGAACUGCGAGUGUAGAGGUGAAAUUCGUAGAUAUUCGCAAGAACACCAGUGGCGAAGGCGGCUCACUGGCCCGGUACUGACGCUGAGGCACGAAAGCGUGGGGAGCAAACAGG